rnacentral:misc_RNA from 1 species
UUGUGGUUUACCUCACAGGUAGUACUGUACAAUGUUUACUGUGUGAAAUGCAAAUAUCUUGUACGAUGGUAGCGACGUAUGGGUGGAGGGGAGGGGACCCCAGGAACAUGCUAAUUGUGCCUACCGAGACAGUCAUUAGGGUUGCGGCUUCCAGAGAAACGACAGUGUUUGUGACAGCUGGCGGCAGGUUAUAUAUUGGCCAAUAUGCUGGUCAGGAAAGGGGCAGUUUAAAGCAGGUUGAGCUUGGCAGCAGAUGUGUCCGCGAUGCAACAGUGUACAGAGGCCAGGUGGUGUUCAUCACAGAUGCAGGGGAAGUGUACACACGGGACUUGGAAGGCGGUGAAGUUCGCCCCUUGCCUGUCCUGGAGCCGAAGAAGACCUGCACUCAUGGCCAGGAGGAGAAAGGGAGGAAGGUUCGCGUUCGAGCAGUAGCAGCCGGAUAUGAUCAUAUAUUAUUCCUAAGCGCUCAAGACGAGAUAUGGGUCCAGGGACGGGGACCAGCUCUAGGGCUCUUCACAAACAAAACUGAGAAUGAGAUUACGAACCCAGCCCGUGUCAACUUCUUCAAGGGAAGAAGGGUAAUGCAAAUAGAAGCUGGAGCUUACUUUACAGUCUCUCUCAUAGAGGCUUUGCCUCCUGUUCACCAUGACAACACAGCCGAGUCAGACGCACUUCCAGACUUUGACUCGUAUGUGCGAUCGUGUGAGCAGUGCCGGCGAGAGACUGGAGAUCGUGUUCUUUUUGAGGAUGCAGACGAAUUCGAUAAGUGUCCUUUAGGAUUGGCAGUAAGAAAAGAAUAUUUCACCCCAGACAGAAGAUCUGACAUUUUAUCGCCGGCUCCUAGUAGUGUCAACAUGGACGGUAGAUCGUCUCGAAAUAGUGCGUUCCACGAAGAUGGUGAGUCAUCAGAUUAUGUGGCAGAUGAAUUAGAUCCAACAUCAGGAGAAGUGUCUUGUGAUGGAACAGCAUUAAAUACUCCAGUUGAAUUACGGACAGGAAUCGAGUUAAAAGAUAUGGCUCGAAUACAUAAACAGAGUGAAUGUAGUGAUUUUGAAGUUGUUGAGUGUACUGAUGAUGAAACCGAUAUGGGAGGAGAUGCUGGGAGACGGAAGUUGAGUUCAACAGGUAGUAGUAGUUUAUUCAUAAAUGCUGAUGCCGCUAGACAAUUUAUAUCUAGACAGUUAUCGUGGAUGACAGCAACAAGUGUAGAACAGGGUGAGUGCAUUAUGGAAAAUGAGAGAAUCAAUAAUAAGUAUCACAUAGACAGUGCUACAGAGCUUAUUAAAGAAAAUGUAGCAAGUGCAGCAAACAGUGCAGCGAGUCUUGUAGCUACAGGUGUGCGAACUGUGAGUGAUAAAGUGGGCCAGUUGUCACGUCAUUUUAGCAGCAGUGAAUGUGCAGAUGGCGAACUGCACGAUCUCACGCCAGACUCGGAUCCUUUCAGUUUAGAUGCAUUCUAUGAUAAAGCACCUAAACCAAAAAUGAGUAAAAGUGACUCCUAUGAGUGUAACAGUCUUCCACGUCGACUUUCUGACGAAUUAUGUCGUAAAAAAACACACAUGCGAACAGCGUCUGGGGGUCUAAGUUUUCCAAAAGUUGGCAAGAAUGGUGUCCUGACCCUCGAGAAAGGACCAGAACAAGUUGCCAAAAACACAAGUCUCAUCAUUGAUGGCGGACGUAAUAUUUUAAAUACAGAGGUUUGGGCGUGGGGGUCUGCUAACAAGGGUCAGCUUGGCCUCGGUGAUCUCAGCCACAGGUCGACUCCAACCAAUGUGGUAACGUUGAAUCACAUGGGGGUCACCAAGGUGGUGUGCGGGUCCCACCACACAGCUGCUCUCACCGUGGAUGGACAGGUUUAUAUAUGGGAACCCAAAGAUACUAGUGAUGACGUUGAUCAUGCAACAACGGAGCCUAAGUCCCAUAAGUCUUCAUAUUGGAAGGUGUUUGUGUGGGGGGACAACUCGAGCGGCCAAGGUGGACGUUCUGCACCUGUUGGAAGUGGAUUAUUACCCAAUAAAUCCCCAAACAAAUCUCCCAGUAAAGUUGGGAAUGCCUCAUCAUCCAUUGUCUCUCCCAGACGCCUUGAACUUCCUGACGGAGGUCUGGUUCGGGAUCUGGCCUCGGGGGACAACUACCUCAUCGUCAUUUCCAUUGAUGGUUUUACAUACUAUGUGGGCAAACUAAGGGACGAAGAAAACGCAACAGUGCAGCAGAUACCAGUCGGUGAUGCCACGACGCGCUGCAGAUCAGUAUUGUGCCAGUGUGACAGUGUUGUAUGCACAUCUGAUGAGAUGCAUCCACAGGUGAUAAAAUUUCUGAAAAAUGAAACAGAGUACCUGAGCCUGCUGAAGUGUGUCAACCAGCACGUGGUGAAACCAUUCCUCUCAACCUGCACCACCAGCAACAGUAGCAAGAGCUCGUCCUCAAGCACAUCCCACAAGGACCCGGCUGCACCCGGCAUCGUCGGUGGGAGCGGCUUCACAGUUGAGAACAGCCAGGUGCAACAGACAAAGCAGGAGCUUCUCGAAGCUUACCUCGAUGUAACGCAUGCGGUGGCCAGCAGUUUGAGAGACAUGUUGGAUGAUCAGGCAGCUGACGUCACCUCUGUCAUACCAAUAAUACGGCAGGUAGAAGAACACAAGUCAAUUUACCAGAAAUAUAUGAGCUCAGUGUGUGAUGCAAUUGCUAUCAGUGGCCUCGCAGUCGCAAGCAAAGAAGCUAAUAUAGUCAUGGAGAAGUGCCAGUCCAUUUUAGCAUCUCUUAUUCCUGAAGACAAGAGAAAAACCAACAGUGAUCUCUUUGCCCACCUCAUUCUCCGGCCACUGAACCACAUCCAUGAGUAUGUUGAAUUUCUCCUAUCUAUGAAGAAUGAUGCUGAUAAUUAUUACUCGCCUUUUACGCUAGACAAGAUCAAAAUUGCCCAUGCCCACUGGAGGCAGCUGUCAAAUGUAGCACAAAAAAAUCAGGUAGAAGCUGAAGCAACAAAGGCGUAUUGGGAAACAUGUAGCCCCAAGAUGGUAGAAGCUUUGGCCAACCCAUCGCGACGACUUCUCCGAGAUUCACACACCAACCCCAUAAAUGUCCACAAUGCUGGACGCUUCUCAUCCCAUUCUUUUGUUUUGCUGACUGAUGUUCUUGUGCACCUUCAGUACUCAAAUUUUACAACGUAUGAUCUCAGUACCAUGUGGGUUGAGCCAGUACCUAACAGCUCAAGUAUUCAGAAUGGUAUUCAUAUAACAUUGCCGGAGGACACGUUGACUCUGGCAUGCCCCACCAGUUCAGACAAGGGUCAGUGGAUGUAUGCCCUUCAGGAGGGCAUCAAGCGAUCUGUUCAUGGCACUGGCGAGGGGGGGUUGGUGGUGGUGCCAAGGACCCCUCCCCUUGUGAGAAAUGCAUCUUAUACCUUUACUAAGAAUGCACAGUAUAAGGAUGCCACGUACAGUGGUCAGUGGUUCUGUGGUAAACUUCAUGGUGAGGGCAUUAUGACUUGGUCUGAUGGACGGAAAUAUGAGGGACAAUUCCGGCAGAGCGUCUACCACGGCCCCGGUCGGCUGGAGGUACCCUCAACCGGAGGGGUCACCAUUUAUGAAGGCACGUGGAAGAAUGGAAAACUUGAGGGAAAAGGCAUUAUCAGGUAUGCCAAUAAGGAUGUGUAUAUUGGAUACCUCCAUGAAAGCCAACCUCAUGGACACGGUGAGCUUAAAAAGGGACGCUUCAGCUCGCAGGCAGCUUCUGUAUACACUGGCGAGUGGAACAGUGGCGUUAAACAAGGCUAUGGUGUGCUGGACGAAAUAGUUAAAGGCGAGAAGUACCUGGGAAUGUGGCAGAACAAUUGCCGUCAUGGGUCGGGUAUGGUCGUCACCAUGAAUGGUGUCUAUUAUGAGGGAAACUUUCACCAAAAUAAGCUAACUGGCUAUGGUCUGAUGGUGUUUGAAGACAAAACUUACUAUGAGGGGGAACUUGGUAUUGGUGGAACGUUUGCCGGGAAAGGAAGUCUACAUUAUCCUAGUGGAGACACCAUAGAAGGAACCUUCACAGGCACCUGGGAAGAAGGUAUCAAGAUCAACGGUAUGCUGCAAAAAGGGGUUGGUGCGCCUGAUGAGGAGAACAUGCCCAAGUCGUUUGGGAAGUUAAGUGUGAGUGCUGACCAGAAAUGGACGGCGAUUGUGCGUCAGUGCAAGGAACAUCUGGGCAUUACGUCUGGAACAGAUGUGACUACAAGUAAAGUGUGGGAAACACUUGCCACUAGGUUGGAAGCAGAGAAGCAGGCAGCUCUGCGUCAUAGUGCCCAAAUGGACGUUUUGGAUGGAAUCGAUCGCAUUCCUGAGAGAAAAGGAGAACUCACAUACCAGUAUUUCAUGGAAAUUCAUUCAUAUUUAGGCAAGGCAUUUGGAUGCCGGUUACAUCCAUUAGGACAACUCCUGCAGUCUCUGGUUGACGCCUUCAGAGCCACCUAUGGCGGAGUUGUGGCUCACCCGCGCCUUCUGCCGUAUGCCGUACAGGAGGUACAUUCCUUCACUUCAAGAUUAUACCAGUUGGUGAGGGUGUUGUUUCCAGACUUACCAAGAGAGGAAGAAAAUGUUUUAUUAGAGCCACCGAUGGAAGAUCAAGAAGAAAUGUAAGUGACGCCAUCUUGGCAACAGAUCGUGAUGGACCCCUUGGUGGGCUACGAAAAUUGUGUAGUGGAACAAAUCUCGCUGUGUAGUGACUCCAGCUUAUGUGAUUCAUCCCUGGCUGCUGCCGCACGUGUACUCUCCACUUUCCACACUGUACGUCCUGCAUCACCAGCCUAAAGAUGAAGAGUACUGGAGGAGGCUGCUGAAGUGGA